rnacentral:rRNA from 1 species
AGCGAACGCUGGCGGCAGGCCUAACACAUGCAAGUCGAACGAACCCUUCGGGGUUAGUGGCGGACGGGUGAGUAACACGUGGGAACGUGCCUUUAGGUUCGGAAUAACUCAGGGAAACUUGUGCUAAUACCGAAUGUGCCCUUCGGGGGAAAGAUUUAUCGCCUUUAGAGCGGCCCGCGUCUGAUUAGCUAGUUGGUGAGGUAAUGGCUCACCAAGGCUACGAUCAGUAGCUGGUCUGAGAGGAUGACCAGCCACAUUGGGACUGAGACACGGGCCAAACUGCUACGGUAGGCAGCAGUGGGGAAGCUUGCGCAAUGGGCGAAAGCCUGACGCAGCCAUGCCGCGUGGAUGAUGAAGGUCUUAGGAGUGUGAAAUCCUUUCACCGGUGAAGAUAAUGACUGUAGCCGGAGAAGAAGCCCCGGCUAACUUCGUGCCAGCCGCCGCCGUAACAC